UUCAGCUGUGUUAUUCAUGUAGCUGAAGUUAGGUAACUAAGGGUAUGAAUACACUAGAGGUGAUACAUCGAUCCCCGAAUGUGCUUCCUGUCGACUCCAGAACUCCACCAGGGUGAGAGGCGGAAGCAGAGUUGACGGGGGAGAGGUGGCUGUCGACCCCGCGCCACGAGGACAUAAAUUCUUUAAACAUGGAUGAUAUCACAUACUCUUCCUCAACUUGCUGAAGUUCUUCUCGAGUGGGCCAAACAUCAUGCAGACACGACUGAGGCAAUUUCUUCCAAACAAGGAAGUGAAGAAAGGAGAAGAUGCCCUCUGAAAACAGCAGAGAAAGGGACUGGUCUUCUCAUCACACACAACAUAAAUGAGAGUUUUUAGCUCUAAUUUGCCUGAAACAAUUAACCUCAAAAAACACUCAUCAGAAAAAUAUACCUUCCCAGCAUGUGAGGGACAACAAUAACUGCACUGUCAAACAAGGAAGGUACUUCUAACUGAUAUUCAUAGGAGUUGCUUACCUCAAGCAAUUUGAUGUUGGGAAAGAAAUAAGGUGUCUGAUUUAUGUUAUUGCUGGCAAGAGAAUUGCUCAUUUUCAACUCUAGUCCUCUAACUGCUGACUAGAACACCAAUAAGAUACCAUAUAAUUUAUUUGUAAAUGUCUUCCAGGAACUGUAUUCAUUUACUUAUAUAUAGGGCGCUCAUCACCACAGUGUCUAAACAGGAAAGUUAGUCAUCUGCGUUCAUAUGUGUUUGUAAUUAAAAGCAUCAUUUUAUUAAAUGAGUGAAAUUCA